rnacentral:misc_RNA from 1 species
UCGCGGCUUAUCACCGGCAGUCCCCUUAGAGUGCCCAACUAAAUGAUGGCAACUAAGGGCGAGGGUUGCGCUCGUUGCGGGACUUAACCCAACAUCUCACGACACGAGCUGACGACAGCCAUGCACCACCUGCACACCAACCACAAGGGAACAGCCAUCUCUGACUGCGUCUAGUGCAUGUCAAACCCAGGUAAGGUUCUUCGCGUUGCAUCGAAUUAAUCCACAUGCUCCGCCGCUUGUGCGGGCCCCCGUCAAUUCCUUUGAGUUUCAGCCUUGCGGCCGUGCUCCCCAGGCGGGGUACUUACUGCGUUAGCGACGGCACCGGGAGGGUCGCUCCCCCCGACGCC